rnacentral:tRNA from 1 species
CCCUACUAGUAUAAACGUACAGCUGGCUUCCAACCAUAAAGACCUAAACUAACCCAUUAGGGUAGGGUA